AUUGAACGCUGGCGGCAGGCCUAACACAUGCAAGUCGAACGAGUGGCGGACGGGUGAGUAAUGUCUGGGAAACUGCCUGAUGGAGGGGGUUAACUACUGGAAACGGUAGCUAAUACCGCAUACCAUCGGAUGUGCCCAGAUGGGAUUAGCUUGUAGGUGGGGUAACGGCUUACCUAGGCGACGAUCCCUAGCUGGUCUGAGAGGAUGACCAGCGACACGGGAACGGAGACACGGUCCAGACGCCUACGGUAGGCAGCAGUGGGGAAUAUUGCACAAUGGGCGCAAGGCUGAUGCAGCCGUGCCGCGUGUAUGAAGAAGGCCUUCGGGUUGUAAAGUACUUUCAGCGGGGAGGCGUUACCCGCAGAAGAAGCACCGGCUAACUCCGUGCCAGCAGCCGCGAUAAUUC
rnacentral:rRNA from 1 species